rnacentral:rRNA from 1 species
GUGGGGAAUCUUAGACAAUGGGGGCAACCCUGAUCUAGCCAUGCCGCGUGAUCGAUGAAGGCCUUAGGGUUGUAAAGAUCUUUCAGUUGGGAAGAUAAUGACGGUACCAACAGAAGAAGCCCCGGCUAACUCCGUGCCAGCAGCCGCGGUAAUACGGAGGGGGCUAGCGUUAUUCGGAAUUACUGGGCGUAAAGCGCACGUAGGCGGAUCAGAAAGUCAGAGGUGAAAUCCCAGGGCUCAACCUUGGAACUGCCUUUGAAACUUCUGGUCUUGAGGUCGAGAGAGGUGAGUGGAAUUCCGAGUGUAGAGGUGAAAUUCGUAGAUAUUCGGAGGAACACCAGUGGCGAAGGCGGCUCACUGGCUCGAUACUGACGCUGAGGUGCGAAAGCGUGGGGAGCAAACAGGAUUAGAUACCCGAGUAGUCC